AUACGGAGGGGGCUAGCGUUGUUCGGAAUUACUGGGCGUAAAGCGCGCGUAGGCGGUCCGCGUAGUCAGGCGUGAAAGCCCCGGGCUCAACCUGGGAACUGCGUUUGAUACUGGCGGGCUUGAGUCCGGGAGAGGGUAGUGGAAUUCCCAGUGUAGAGGUGAAAUUCGUAGAUAUUGGGAAGAACACCAGUGGCGAAGGCGGCUACCUGGACCGGUACUGACGCUGAGGUGCGAAAGCGUGGGGAGCAAACAGGAUUAGAAACCCCAGUAGUCC
rnacentral:rRNA from 1 species